GUGAAGAAGAGAAAUGGGAGAGGGCUAAGUAAUGUUUUAAGAGAAUAAUAUAAACUGACUGCUGUAAAAAUACUGCGCCAUGAAAUUGUCCAUUAUUUUCAGAAGGCAGCAAAGGGUGAGUCUGGAUUCAGCAGUUGUCCACUGGAUGCCUUCUAGAAAUUGCUUAUAGCAAAGUAUACAGAACAGGAGAUAUUGAGCAGAAAGUGGGAGGAAGUUACAGAGAAGAUGACAAUUGCUUCUUACUGCCAGGGCCUUCUUCAUGUUGAUAUGGGAUAUUCGUUGAAGAGGAAACACCAAGAGGGCAGACAGCUGCAGGCCAAGGAACUGAAUCCAUCUGGAAAGCUGCAGGAGACAGUACAGGAAGGGCAAAGGACCUGGCAACCUUGGAGAAGGUUGAGUUCUGACUGUUCAGGAGAGCGAAUAGAGAGUUGGGAGGGGAAGGUAAUGCUGUAACCCGUGAAUACUGGGAAUGUUUGCCAGGUGCCCUACAAUGUGGUCAUCCCAGUUUGCUGUCUCUUCAAAAUACUUCAGUAAAUG
ensembl:lncRNA